CGUGCCUAAUACAUGCAAGUCGAGCGGACCGACGCGAGCUUGCUCCCUUAGGUCAGCGGCGGACGGGUGAGUAACACGUGGGUAGCCUGCCUGUAAGACUGGGAUAACUCCGGGAAACCGGGGCUAAUACCGGAUGCUUGAUUGAACCGCAUGGUUCAAUCAUAAAAGGCGGCUUCGGCUGCCGUUUACAGAUGGACCCGCGGCGCAUUAGCUAGUUGGUGAGGUAAUGGCUCACCAAGGCGACGAUGCGUAGCCGACCUGAGAGGGUGAUCGGCCACACUGGGACUGAGACACGGCCCAGACUCCUACGGGAGGCAGCAGUAGGGAAUCUUCCGCAAUGGACGAAAGUCUGACGGAGCAACGCCGCGUGAGUGAUGAAGGUUUUCGGAUCGUAAAGCUCUGUUGUUAGGGAAGAACAAGUACCGUUCGAAUAGGGCGGUACCUUGACGGUACCUAACCAGAAAGCCACGGCUAACUACGUGCCAGCAGCCGCGGUAAUACGUAGGUGGCAAGCGUUGUCCGGAAUUAUUGGGCGUAAAGCGCGCGCAGGCGGUUUCUUAAGUCUGAUGUGAAAGCCCCCGGCUCAACCGGGGAGGGUCAUUGGAAACUGGGGAACUUGAGUGCAGAAGAGGAGAGUGGAAUUCCACGUGUAGCGGUGAAAUGCGUAGAGAUGUGGAGGAACACCAGUGGCGAAGGCGACUCUCUGGUCUGUAACUGACGCUGAGGCGCGAAAGCGUGGGGAGCGAACAGGAUUAGAUACCCUGGUAGUCCACGCCGUAAACGAUGAGUGCUAAGUGUUAGAGGGUUUCCGCCCUUUAGUGCUGCAGCAAACGCAUUAAGCACUCCGCCUGGGGAGUACGGUCGCAAGACUGAAACUCAAAGGAAUUGACGGGGGCCCGCACAAGCGGUGGAGCAUGUGGUUUAUUUCUAAGCAACGCGAAGAACCUUACCAGGUCUUGACAUCCUCUGACACCCCUAGAGAUAGGGCUUCCCCUUCGGGGGCAGAGUGACAGGUGGUGCAUGGUUGUCGUCAUCUCGUGUCGUGAGAUGUUGGGUUAAGUCCCGCAACGAGCGCAACCCUUGAUCUUAGUUGCCAGCAUUCAGUUGGGCACUCUAAGGUGACUGCCGGCGACCAACCGGAGGAAGGUGGGGAUGACGUCAAAUCAUCAUGCCCCUUAUGACCUGGGCUACC
rnacentral:rRNA from 1 species